rnacentral:lncRNA from 1 species
AGAAAAAAAAAAAUGAUGAAGUUGUAUUGUUUGAGGUGAAACUUGCACUUUUGAGGUGAAAAUUAUACUAUUUGAAAUAAAAGUUAUAUUGUUUGAGAGAAAAGUUGCACUUUUGAGUCAAAUAUUUAUAUUGUUUGGGACGAAAUUUUCACUCUUUCAUAUAAAAAUUACACUAUUUGAAAUUAUUUGAGACUAAGUUACAAUACAUAAAACAGAAGUUACACUCCUUUAAGCGAAUGUUGCACUAUUUAAAAUUAUUGAGGCAUAAUAACACAAUGCU